rnacentral:rRNA from 1 species
GAUGAACGCUAGCUACAGGCUUAACACAUGCAAGUCGAGGGGCAGCAUGGUCUUAGCUUGCUAAGGCUGAUGGCGACCGGCGCACGGGUGAGUAACACGUAUCCAACCUGCCGUCUACUCUUGGCCAGCCUUCUGAAAGGAAGAUUAAUCCAGGAUGGGAUCAUGAGUUCACAUGUCCGCAUGAUUAAAGGUAUUUUCCGGUAGACGAUGGGGAUGCGUUCCAUUAGAUAGUAGGCGGGGUAACGGCCCACCUAGUCAACGAUGGAUAGGGGUUCUGAGAGGAAGGUCCCCCACAUUGGAACUGAGACACGGUCCAAACUCCUACGGGAGGCAGCAGUGAGGAAUAUUGGUCAAUGGGCGAUGGCCUGAACCAGCCAAGUAGCGUGAAGGAUGACUGCCCUAUGGGUUGUAAACUUCUUUUAUAAAGGAAUAAAGUCGGGUAUGCAUACCCGUUUGCAUGUA